rnacentral:rRNA from 1 species
GACGAACGCUGGCGGCGUGCCUAAUACAUGCAAGUAGAACGCUGAAGAGAGGAGCUUGCUCUUCUUGGAUGAGUUGCGAACGGGUGAGUAACGCGUAGGUAACCUGCCUUGUAGCGGGGGAUAACUAUUGGAAACGAUAGCUAAUACCGCAUAACAAUGGAUGACACAUGUCAUUUAUUUGAAAGGGGCAAUUGCUCCACUACAAGAUGGACCUGCGUUGUAUUAGCUAGUAGGUGAGGUAACGGCUCACCUAGGCGACGAUACAUAGCCGACCUGAGAGGGUGAUCGGCCACACUGGGACUGAGACACGGCCCAGACUCCUACGGGAGGCAGCAGUAGGGAAUCUUCGGCAAUGGGGGCAACCCUGACCGAGCAACGCCGCGUGAGUGAAGAAGGUUUUCGGAUCGUAAAGCUCUGUUGUAAGUCAAGAACGAGUGUGAGAGUGGAAAGUUCACACUGUGACGGUAGCGUACAGAAAGGGACGGCUAACUACGUG